ACUUAAUAUUUUAUUUCAUAAGGCAUGUGCCUAAUUAGCCAAGUGGGCAAGUGGAUUAAGUGUAGAGAUUUUGGGAGACAAGCAAUUAAUGAAGAAGAUUUCAUUUGAUCUUAAGGAUCAAAGUGUAUCAAAACAAAACAAAAUUUUCUCUCAUCUCUCACCCUCAACCUCUCGCCCCUCUCUCUUUCUCUCUCCCUCAUCUCUCUUUCCUCCAUGAACCUCCAUUAGAGAGACCUUCCAAGCUUCCCAAAAUCACAUCUAUGGCAUAAUCCUUCACUAAAUCAAGCCCUAAACACUUUCUACACUUGAUUUCAAAGAGAUUUUAGAAGGUUUGAGCUUGAAGUUUAGAGAGAAUAAAUUCUACUUUUCCUUAAAAAAUUUGAAUACGAGCAGAGGACGAAAGUAAGAUCGCCCAAGUACUACGAGAGUAAGCUAAGUUUGUCAGGUGGGCAUUAUUUUGAGUAUACAUAUUAUACGAGCUUUCUCAAAUGAUAUGAUAUUUAUGAUUAUGAUUUGAGUUAAUGUUAUGCUUGAAACUAAUUGACUUGCCGAGUUUUGUUGUUAAUGAUUUGUGUGUUACCCUCUACUGAUGAGACGAAUUCGGUCCUGCCACAAACGAGAUUUUGUGCACAGAGGUGACUGUGAGCUGUCUAUCGGGUCGGCCGAUCACGGUACUUGAGAGGGAGGCCUACUUCUCAAUACCUUUAAUGAUGAGUUGUAAAUGUGGUACAUACAUGCUAAGUAUUUUGACUGCAGUCGCUUAUUUAUGAUGCUUAUGAUUUACAACUACUUACACAGGUUCUUUCCAACUAAAUCCAUGUUUAUUGCUUAUGUGGCAAGUUCAAUUUAUAGCUCUAAGAGCAAGCUUUUAUUUAUUUUUCGGCAUAUGUCCACUGAGUACUUUGUACUUUGUACUCAGCCCUGCAUGUAUUUCUAAAUGUGCAGGAUUAGCGAGAAGAGAAAAGAUCGGUCUGGUGCUGGCAGGGACUUAUUUUGGACGACAUUGUUUCUUUUACCAUAUCUCUACUUCAUACGGUAGCCUUUUGACGUUGGAUGUUUAUAUUUUGAACUUAAUCAGGAAAUACACUCUCGGCUAUAUGUCUUCAUACAUAUAGUCUGAUCACGUUUUGCUGCGAGACUCUGUAAAUUAUAAACCUUUGUAAAUUUUUAACUAUGUUCGCUUUGUAAACUUUGUCGAGAAUCCCUGUACUUUUGAACUUAUGAAGCCGAUAAUAUUUGUGUCUUUGAGAUGA